CGGGCGGCAUUCGUUUUUUGGAGCUGCACCGUUAGGAUGGUCGGCAUUUUUCCAAUAAUUUGCUAGUGACAAUGAUUGGGAUGCGCAUUCUGCUCUGAGCCGCCAAGGACCGAGACAGAAGG
rfam:Paenibacillus sp. MY03 contig6, whole genome shotgun sequence.